CCUGGAGCCACCGCCUGAUUAGCAUGCAGCCUGGCACUGCGGCUUCGGGCUGAGUCUGAGAGGCGCCGAUGCCCCAGCAUGGAUUCCACAUGGACUAUUUCAGCAAUGAAGAAGCGUCAGGAAGCAGAGUAUUUGCAGGGGCCAGGUUUAUAAAGAAGAGAAAGCUGAAGGUCCAAGAGGUAAAGUCACUGACCUCAGGGCAGACCUGGGCCAGAGGGCAGCUCUCUAAAGGGCCGGCAAUUGCUGCACUGCAUGCAAAGAAGAUGUGGAGAGAUUCUGUAGGUCGGGAAGCAGAAUGAGGCUUAGCUGAGUGUCUCUGGUCAAGAUCUCUUAUGAGGUUGCAGCAAAGAUGUCAUCUGGAACUAUAGUUUUAUCUGAAGACUCAAAUCAAAUCUAGCUUACCCUGUUCAGCUCACCACACGUACUGUGUAUUAGAUGCCCUCAAGUUCUGAAGACGGAGAUGGAAACAGUGACAUGGAUGACCUGGAGGCCAUUAUCCUAAGUGAAAUAACUCGGAAACAGAAAGUCAAAUGCUGCAUGUUCUCACUUAUAAGUGGGAGCUAAGCAAUGGGUACACAUGGACAUAAAGACAGAACUAAUAGAGACUUGGGACUCCAAAAGGGGGGAAGAUGGGAAAGGGAUGAGGGUUGAAAACUUACCUAUUGGGUACAGUGUUCACUAUUUGGUUGAUGGGUACACUAGAAGCCCAAUCCCUGUCAUUAUGUAAUAUACCCAUGACACAAACCUGCAUGGGUACAACCCCAAUCUAAAAUAAAAUAAAAAGAAUUUGACCAUGCACUGAAAGCUGUCAUGUCCCCUCUGUUGUAUUGCUGCUGCUGCUGCUGCUGCUAUUGCUGUCAUCGAUGAGGAGGAUGAUGAAGACAGUGAUGUUAACAUAGAUGGAUCACACAAUUGCUAUAAUAAAAUGUGAGUCUCAGUCUCAACCACGGAUGCAAACAAGUUUUAUCUGUCUACUGCGACUUUCAGCCCUUGUCAAAAAUGCCACAAUCACGGGUUCCCAUGCCACAUGUCAUCAUCUCCGCUUCUGCACCUGGAUGCUCAGUUAAGGCUCAGUCCUGAAAAUAAACUGUUUGUGAAUGAGGAAAUCAUCUCCGCAUAAUUGGGGCUGCUGAAGAGCGUGAGAUAUCAUUCCAAUUGAACAGUCUUCUGAAUUUUUACCCUGUGAUCUGAGGAGUGGUGCAUCUAAUCAAUCACCUAAAUAAUGAUUCAAUCUCUUGUUGAUGUACCCAUCUAUGGGCCUUCUAUAGACAUUUUCUCCAGGCCUCCAGUGUUUUCCCUAUCUCCUGGAAGAACAUCAGCACUUCCUCAGGAGUGAAUCAAGUAAGUCAUCAGCACCAGCUCUAGCACAACAGAGACAGCCGUGCUGGAAAAGCUACAGAGAGAUACCAUCCUCUGGCAGCAGCAGACAACCCUAUUCCAGUCUGUGAAUUCAAUGGACUUCCAAAUGCAAAAGACAGUUGGUGCCUUAGGACAAAUUUAGCUGUGGCUGGGCUAGAUCAUGGAUGGUUACUAGCAUGAAAAUUCAUUCAUAUGGGUUUGGAAUAUAAUACCUGACACGAGAUAUAUCGGAGCUGCCAUGCUCCAAUCCUAGAUAAGGACACAGCAGUAACAGAUGGAGGAACAAGGCACUUAUCUUGUUAGUUGAUGGAUUUAUCUUCUUUUCCCCUUCCCUACAUAUUCCAUAGUGUUGUGAGUGGUGGUUUUUGCUGUGCAGCAUAUGGAGAGUGAAUUGAUUUCUUUUCUCCUUCCUUAAUUCAAUAAGAAUCAGAGUAAAGGAUAAACAGCUUGUUGUGCUAGAAAAAAUUUCCAAACAGUCAAGAAAUUCUCAAACUGCCUUUUCUUCUUUCCGUAGUUAGGAAUUUAGUUCUGGGAAGCAUUCCUCCCUCAGCAAGAAUAGAAAUGAGAGUGCUUUGCAUGAUUAGGAUAAUGGCACAUUCACGGUCUCUGGGCUUUGGUUGGAGACGCAUCAGCUCAUUCUAACUGCAUGACCAAAAAGAGCUGUGCUUAAUAUAGGAAAGAAAGACAAUGGCUUGCAAUCAAAAUAAUUCCUGACAUGACUAAUUACAGUGGCCUGAAGAACUGGAUUAACUUCUACUUCCUCCCAAUACCCCUUUAAAACAAUGGUUUAAACAAUCUAUAUAGACAAAUAAAAUGAGAGAAAACAUCAGCAGAUGAAACACGUUGGCAAAAUUGUAUAGGAUGGAAAGCAGAUGAAUGAAUGGUAACUGAUUC
rnacentral:lncRNA from 10 species